UCAAUAAUUAUGAUGAGGCAGGAACAAAUACAAUGAUGAAUUCUGCGUUUGGGGAGGAGGAAGUAGUCAAAAAGAAAACGAGACGCUCAAAACCUGUUGGCACUAAAGAAUCUUGGUGGUGAUGGCAUGGUCAACAAGAGAAGGAUAUGUUCUGUCUCCACCGAGAAUCUUGGUGCUGUGAGAAAAAGGAAGAUAGUGUCAUCAAGGAGGAAAUUAGCUGAAGUUAAUUUGCCAACAGAGGAGGGUGUACCGAAUGUUGUCCCUGACUUGGACUUUCCUUGUGCAACUUCUAAAGAAAGAGCUGUUGAUGUUGGAAACAUGGAUAAAGGCAGAAGAAAAUCAACUCCGAGACCCAAGCAGAUAAACAUGCCUGAAGAGGAUGCUGAUAAAAACUCAACAUUCACAUGACUUGUCAAUUGCCUGUCGUUUGCCCGUAUGAAAGGAAUCGACAGGAACAAAAGAUAAUUGAAGUUGAGAAACUGCCCCUUGAAAAGGGUUUAAUUUCACCUGUGAUGAUGGUUUUGCGUGUGGAGGUUGCAGUCAGUACGCGUGGAAUGCUCAAAGGAUGACGCCCAAUAAGCUGGAGUGUCAUCAGGCACAUUGCCUUGUUUGUGAGCAGCUCCACAGCAGAUUCCCUUACACAAGGGAUGUUUUUUUAGACAGAACCAGGGUCAUCUGGACGUCAUCUGUUGAUUCGAAAACUGGCGCCACAUAUACAGGUAGUAGUAACUUGUAAGUGCAUGCAAAGAGUCAUCUGGAUGUCAUAUGUUGAUUCCGUUAUUAUAUUUGUCCCUACCUUAUUAUCAGAGCCUCUUCUCUUUCUGACAGCCCCCUCAUUGCCAACAGGUUUUGGACGCCUUGUUCUCUUUUUGACUAAUCCAUCUUCACUAACAGCCACAGAGUCUGGUAUUAGAGCUUAAUCACAUCCUGAUUAUUCAAGAUAAAUAUAGUGAUCAACUGUGACAUGUUUAUUCAAGAUAAAUAUAGCCUGUUACUGAACAAAUACAAUGGAUUCAACUUCAGUCAAGACCAAUAUACAAUGGAUUUAGCUUCAGUCAAGACCAGAUUGCUUCAUAUCCAUGUUGGCCCUAUGGUCCUGUAACAUUAUUUCCACAUUGAAAAUUGAAAAUGAUAGUAUUAGUGUAUUACUAUUGUACAUUGUUUUGUCUACAUGUUUUUUUUUGUUUUGCAAAUAAAAAAAACCUUGUGCUGCA